GACGAACGCUGGCGGCGUGCCUAAUACAUGCAAGUUGAGCGAUGAAGAUUGGUGCUUGCACCAAUUUGAAGAGCAGCGAACGGGUGAGUAACGCGUGGGGAAUCUGCCUUUGAGCGGGGGACAACAUUUGGAAACGAAUGCUAAUACCGCAUAAUAACUUUAAACAUAAUUUUUAAGUUUGAAAGAUGCAAUUGCAUCACUCAAAGAUGAUCCCGCGUUGUAUUAGCUAGUUGGUGAGGUAAAGGCUCACCAAGGCGAUGAUACAUAGCCGACCUGAGAGGGUGAUCGGCCACAUUGGGACUGAGACACGGCCCACCCUCCUACGGGAGGCAGCAGUAGGGAAUCUUCGGCAAUGGACGAAAGUCUGACCGAGCAACGCCGCGUGAGGGAAGAAGGUUUUCGGAUCGUAAAACUCUGUUGGUAGAGAAGAACGUUGGUGAGAGUGGAAAGCUCAUCAAGUGACGGUAACUACCCAGAAAGGGACGGCUAACUACGUG
rnacentral:rRNA from 1 species